rnacentral:rRNA from 1 species
AGUGAACGCUGGCGGCAGGCCUAAUACAUGCAAGUCGAACGGCAGCACAGCAGAGCUUGCUCUGUGGGUGGCGAGUGGCGGACGGGUGAGGAAUACAUGGGAAUCUGCCCAGUCGUGGGGGAUAACGUAUGGAAACGUACGCUAAUACCGCAUGCGCCCUACGGGGGAAAGUCGGGGACCGCAAGGCCUGACGCGAUGGGAUGAGCCGAUGUCCGAUUAGCUAGUUGGCGGGGUAAAGGCCCACCAAGGCGACGAUCGGUAGCUGGUCUGAGAGGACGACCAGCCACACUGGAACUGAGACACGGUCCAGACUCCUACGGGAGGCAGCAGUGGGGAAUAUUGGACAAUGGGGGCAACCCUGAUCCAGCCAUGCCGCG